CUCUUUACCAAAAUGUGACAACUUGACUUGACAGAGGAUGCUCUUUUACAUGAUUGAAGUAAUUUGCAAACCUAGAAUCAGUGAUUUUUAGCAUUACAUUUUUGUCAAUCAACAAAGCAUCCCCAUAAUAUUUCGGUGCAAAUACACUCUUGUGACAGUGCUGCAGCUGUGCAAGUAACUACCUGCAUACAACAGUUUAUAUGAAAUUGAAAAAAUACUUUGAAAAUCAGCAAGUGUAAUGACCAACAACAAAUGAAAAUUAAUCUCGAAUGAUACGUGUCUUUUUCAUUACAGGGUUGUUAUGCAUCAAAUUCUCAAUAGAGAAUGGGGCAUUCUCACUAUACCCCUCUUCCAUCUCUCAUCCAAAUAAGAAAAUAUUGCUCCCUCUAUGCUCAUCAGUCAAUGUGAAGUCUUAAAGAAGACAUAUCACAUCUUCAAGCAGCGAAAACCAAGGGAAAAAAAAUAAAGAAUCCCCAAAAAUAGAGCAAAUGCCAGCUAAUAGUGAAUAUACUAAAGAGUGCUAUCUUUCAGUCGUGAAAAAUUCCAAGCAAAGUGGGUUGCUUCCUGCAGAUGGCAAGCAUAAAGUAGGAGAAAAAGGAGAUAAUUAGGAAACUAUUGUUAAACUAUAUCAUUUUCAAAUUCAGAGGAAUUGAACUGAACAGUUGAAAAUAUAAAUUCAGCUAUGGCUAAUUGGCAAAAAAUUCUUACGAAGCAAUAGAGAUCCAAGCAUACAAUAUUUAGCACAAAAAUAUCUCUUUUUUCUCUUUCAGUUCUCCUUUUUUCCUAUUCUGCUUACUCUCUUUUCUCCUCCUCUCUUGUAGCCACCACUUUCUCCAUCAGCCACGUUCCCAAAAACAUUUUAUCUACACAUGUAUUCUAGUCAUUUUCUUCAUUUUCCUUCAGUAAUUUUCCCCCUCAACUUAGAUUGUUUUUCAAGAAAAACAAUUAUCUUAAAAAUUAGCUUAUGAAAGUCAUGUUUGAAACUUUUCACUCUAUAGGAGGUAAGAUACCUCUUCAUAAGUGCAUCGUGCAUGGAUCAUAUACCAUGAAAAAAAUGUCAAGGGUAAAAUGCUAAGGAAAACUUUAUUGCAAAAGAUAUAUAUAUAUAUAUUCUCGUUGAAAACAUAGGUAAGUUCAUAGCAGUGUAGAAUCGUGGUGCAGACUUGUGAAAUGAUGUCUUGGUACUGAUAUUUAGUAUUAGUUUUGUACUCAUCAAAUAAAAAGAUCUAAACUAAAACAAAUAUCUUUUUUGAAAUAAAAGUAAAAGAGUUAGUGACAUCUAUUAUUGAUCUCACCAAAUUUACCAAAGUGAAACAUCAAAAAGAUAGAGGGGGAACAAAUGAGAGUUCAACCAUUCAUAUAUAUCUUCUUAUAUGGUCUAUGAAUAAUUGAAGCCAAGCUUCCAGUAAUAUCAUCAUAAUCAUAAAGUUACAACAAUUUGGAAAAUUACUUGGCAACCUUAUCAAUUGAAAAUCUACAUGAAAUGACCAUAGACCAAACUAUAAGCAUGUGCAAAUUGUGAUAAAACUCUAUUGUAUAUUUAGAAAAUUAGAAGAUCUUUGUUCUUUUAUUCGAUGAGUCAAUCUAUCCAUUCUCAUUAGGGGAAUUCCUUUAUCUUAUCAAGAGUCCUAGGGAAAUAAAAAAUAACUUCGAGGUAUUUUUUUCGUUUCUUUAAACUUCUUACAAUUUUAUCAUCCUACACCUCAGGACUCACAUAGCUUUAAAGUUAUUUUCUAUUCAAGCAAUCCAAUUUCCACCAAGGACGAUAAAUUUUAAGUUGUCAUAAUACUAAACAAAGAAUAGCUAAGGAUAUGACUACUUUAAAGGUUAUUAUGGAUAUUGUGGGAAGAACACACAUGAAAAGCAAGCUUUGUAAACAUAAAUUUGGCUAACCAAGUUGGGUCGGUGAUCCUAGUUUUAGCAUCUUGCCUGAACUUGCAUAUUUUGUCACUGCUACUUCCCUUUCUUGUCAAUCAUAGUUGAAGAGGUCAUAUUCCUUUUGUUUCUUUUAGUGGCACUUGUAAUCCAUUGAUUGAAGAUAGAAAAGUAACUGCAGUUUCGGUGACCUCAAGGUUAUGAGCCUUGCGAGCUAUCAGAUUGUUGUACCACAAGCCAAAGAUAAGAACUGAAAACUAAUAGAUAAAAAGAAUUAAAUGUUCCCCUCCACCCUAUCAGUACAAAUAGAAUAAAAGUGAAACAUCAAAAAGAUAGAGGGGAACAAAUGAGAGUUCAACCAUUCAUAUAUAUCUUCUUAUAUGGCCUAUGAAUAGUUCAAGCCAAGCUUCCAGUAAUAUCAUCAUAAUCAUAAAGUUGCAACAAAUUGGGAAAUUACUUGGCAACCUUAUCAAUUGAAAUCUACAUGAAAUGACCAUAGACCAAACUAUAAGCAUGUGCAAAUUGUGAUAAAACUCUAUUGUAUAUUUAGAAAAUUAGAAGAUCUUUGUUCUUUUAUUCGAUGAGUCAAUCUAUCCAUUCUCAUUAGGGGAAUUCCUUUAUCUUAUCAAGAGUCCUAGGGAAAUAAAAAAUAACUUCGAGGUAUUUUUUUCGAUUCUUUAAACCUCUUCAAAUUUUAUCAUCCUACAUCUCAGGACUCAGAUAGCUUUGAAGUUAUUUUCUAUUCAAGCAAUCCAAUUUUCACAAAGGACGAUAAAUUUUAAGUUGUCAUAAUAUUAAACAAAGAAUAGCUAAGGAUAUGACUACAUUAAAGGUCAUUAUGGAUAUUGUGGGAAGAACACACAUGAAAAGCAAGCUUUGUAAACAUAAAUUUGGCUAACCAAGUUGUGUCGGUGAUCCUAGUUUCAGCAUCUUGCCUGAAUAUUUUGUCACUGCUACUUCCCUUUCUUGCAAAUCGUAGUUGAAGAGGUCAUAUUCCUUUUGUUUCUUUUAGUGGCACUUGUAAUCCAUUGAAUUAGGAUGUUACAGAAUUUGAUAAUAUAUUUACUAAGAUCAAUGGAUCAUUCUUCUAACAAUUUGAACAUAACUUUCAUCAAACAUGUUAUGUACAAAGGAAUAUGACUACAAAAUGAGGAUAGAAAAGUAACUGCAGUUUCCGUGAGCUCAAGGUUAUGAGCCUUGCGAGCUAUCAGAUUGAUGUACCACAAGCCAAAGAUAAGAACUGAAAACUAAUAUAUAAAAAGAAUUAAAUGUUCCCCUCCACCUUAUCAGUACAAAUAGAAUAAAAGUGAAACAUCAAAAAGAUAAAGGGGAACAAAUAAGAGUUCAACCAUUCAUAUAUAUCUUCUUAUAUGGCCUAUGAAUAGUUCAAGCCAAGCUUCCAGUAAUAUCAUCAUAAUCAUAAAGUUGCAACAAAUUGGAAAAUUACUUGGCAACCUUGAAAUGACUAUAGACCAAACUAUAAGCAUGUGCAAAUUGUGAUAAAACUCUAUUGUAUAUUUAGAAAAUUAGAAGAUCUUUGUUCUUUUAUUCGAUGAGUCAAUCUAUCCAUUCUCAUUAGGGGAAUUCCUUUAUCUUAUCAAGAGUCCUAAGGAAAUAAAAAAUAACUUUCGAGGUAUUUUUUUCGUUUCUUUAAACCUCUUCAAAUUUUAUCAUCCUACACCUCAGGACACAGAUAGCUUUGAAGUUAUUUUCUAUUCAAGCAAUAAAAUUUCCACAAAGGACGAUAAAUUUUAAGUUGUCAUAAUACGAAACAAAGAAUAGCUAAGGAUAUGACUACAUUAUAGGUUAUUAUGGAUAUUGUGGGAAGAACACACAUGAAAAGCAAGCUUUGUAAACAUAAAUUUGGCUAAAAAAGUUGUGUCGGUGAUCCUAGUUUAAGCAUCUUGCCUGAAGUUGCAUAUUUUGUCACUACUACUUCCCUUUCUUGCAAAUCGUAGUUAAAGAGGUCAUAUUCCUUUUGUUUCUUUCAGCGGCACUUGUAAUCCAUUGAAUUAGGAUGUUACAGAAUUUGAUAAUAUAUUUACUAAGAAUCAAUGGAUCAUUCUUCUAACAAUUUGAACAUAACUUUCAUCAAACAUGUUAUGUACAAAGGAAUAUGACUACAAAAUGAGGAUAGAAAAGUAACUGCAGUUUCCGUGACCUCAAGGUUAUGAGCCUUGCGAGCUAUCAGAUUGCUCUACCACAAGCCAAAGAUAAGAACUGAAAACUAAUAGUUAAAAAGAAUUAAAUCUUCCCCUUCACCCUAUCAGCACAAAUAGAAUAACUCAUUUAUACAGAAUGGUAAAAGGGCUACUAUGAUCAUCAACAAUAGAAAUAGAACUAAAGUGUUAAUUCUUACCUACUUGAUCUUGUUGCUCCUGGCAACAAACAUGCUGAACCAUUUUAGCAAGUAUACACAGUAAACUAAAGACGAUGAGGUGAUUUGUUCAGUGUAGUGGCAGAGGAACACACUUUUCUGGCAUAUGCAAUUAUUGAAAGAACAAUAAAUCAUUCAAACAGUUAGGAAGCAUGAGUAAAGAGUUCCAAAUUCUAACAAAGAAUUUCUUACUUAACACCCAUCUUUAUGGUUGUCCAUCUAGACUUCUUAGUUUUCUUCAUGUGGUACCUGCAAUCGAAAAAUGAUAAUAUUCAUUAUACAAAUAAAAAAUAGGAUGAUAUUGAUUAGAAAACCGUUUAAUUUUUCUAGUUAUGUUCAAUACAA
rnacentral:lncRNA from 1 species